GGUUUUAUCGUCUAGUGGUUAGGACGCAGGAUUUUGAUUGCUCAGAUCUUCCUGAAGCCCCGGUUCGAUCCCGGGUAAGACCU
rfam:Botryobasidium botryosum FD-172 SS1 unplaced genomic scaffold BOTBOscaffold_20, whole genome shotgun sequence.